CCAGUUGGCCGGGCAGCCGCGCUUUACAAUGCCGAAAGGUGGUAGGGUGAGGAAAGUCCGGGCUCCACGGAAACACGGUGCCGGAUAACGUCCGGCGAGGGCGACCUCAGGGAAAGUGCCACAGAAAGCAAACCGCCUGCGUCCGCGCAGGUAAGGGUGAAAGGGUGGGGUAAGAGCCCACCGCGUUUGCGGCAACGUAAACGGCACGGUAAACCCCACCGGGAGCAAGACCGAAUAGGGAUGACGCGGUUGGCGCAAGCCUUCCGGCUGGUUUCCAGGCCAGUCAUCCGGGUGGGUUGCGAGAGGCAGCGUGCAAACGCUGUCCCAGAGGAAUGGCUGCCACGUUCCGGGUCAAACCGGAGCCAUACAGAACCCGGCUUACAGGCCAACUGGCGAU
rnacentral:RNase_P_RNA from 3 species